rnacentral:rRNA from 1 species
GACGAACGCUGGCGACGUGCCUAACACAUGCAAGUCGAACGGAACUGUUUUGAAAGAUUUCUUCGGAAUGAAUUUGAUUUAGUUUAGUGGCGGACGGGUGAGUAACGCGUGAGUAACCUGCCUUCAAGAGGGGAAUAACAUUCUGAAAAGAAUGCUAAUACCGCAUGACAUAUCGGAACCACAUGGUUUUGAUAUCAAAGAUUUUAUCGCUUGAAGAUGGACUCGCGUCCGAUUAGUUAGUUGGUGAGGUAACGGCUCACCAAGACCGCGAUCGGUAGCCGGACUGAGAGGUUGAACGGCCACAUUGGGACUGAGACACGGCCCAGACUCCUACGGGAGGCAGCAGUGGGGGAUAUUGCGCAAUGGGGGCAACCCUGACGCAGCAACGCCGCGUGAAGGAUGAAGGUUUUCGGAUUGUAAACUUCUUUUAUUAAGGACGAAAAAUGACGGUACUUAAUGAAUAAGCUCCGGCUAACUACGUG